GGAAGGAUCAUUAACACGUAUCCACGUAUCAACCAAUGAGGACUGUUUUCCCGUCUCCCUACGUAUGAAAUGAAUUGAUGACCAGUUUGAGGGAGUGAUGGGACUGCUUCGGCGUCGGCCUUCCUGGUUACUAAGUCGAAUCGAAAGAUUUGCCUUGACAAUAAGAUUCAUGCGGAGGCUCCAUUCCUGCUACUUUGAUCUCCAUCAUGAUCGUGGCGGCAGGAAUACUUUAACAAAUUUCACCCCUUUUUGCUAGUUGACUUUUUAUAUGUGUUGUUAUGCGCAAGCAUGAUACGCACGUUUAAUUAAUUGAACGUUAAAAAAUACAACUCUUAGCAAUGGAUAUCUUGGUUCUCGCAACGAUGAAGAACGCAGCGAAAUGCGAUACGUAAUGCGAAUUGCAGAAUUCAGUGAAUCAUCAAAUCUUUGAACGCAAAUUGCGCUCUUGGGUAGCCCUAGGAGCACGCCUCUCUCAGUAUCGGUUCAACAACCUCUCAGCAGCGUGUACAAUAAGAAGCAAUUCUUUGCGAUACAUGUGUGGCUGGAAAAUGAGAGUCUGACUAACCUCAGUCUCUUUAAAUUCAUGGAGUAAGCAUGACUAACGAUCAACUCUGCGCAAGCAGAUAGUCAGUCGCAGACUGGCGUUCGAUAGUGACGUGAAUAAUGGCCUUCUGGUCAACCUUUACGUGUGUCUAUCAGCGCUAACAAAGUCGGCGAUCGGCGAACGUUCGAAUAGGGUGUGAUUACGUGAGAAAACCAUACGAUUAUUCACCUAGUGUGUAAUCUGAAUUUUGAUCUGAGAUGAAGCGAGACAACCCCCUGAAUUUAAGCAUAUUAAUAAGGGGAGGAAAAGAAACUAACAAGGAUUCCCCCAGUAACGGCGAGUGAAGCGGGAAGAGCUCAAUUUGAAAAUCGACUACCUAAACGGGUCGUCGAGUUGUAGCCUAGAGACGUACUAUCAGCUGAAACCUGGGUAUAAGUUCUUUGGAAUGAGGCAUCAUAGAGGGUGAGAAUCCCGUUUAUGACCCAAAGCUUUCAGCGUACGAUGUGCGUUCAUCGAGUCGAGUUGUUUGGGAUUGCAGCUCUAAAUGGGUGGUAAGUUUCAUCUAAAGCUAAAUAAUGGCGAGAGACCGAUAGCGAACAAGUACCGUGAGGGAAAGAUGAAAAGAACUUUGAAAAGAGAGUUAAAAGUACUUGAAAUUGCUAAGAGGGAAGCGCUAAAAACCAGUGAUACGCUAAGUCAAUCGUUCUUGGCCCCACUAGUUAGUCUGAGUAAUGGGUAACCUUGCUUUGGCUAACGAAAGGGUGGUUGGGGAUUUCUGAUUUGGUGUCAGUCAAGAUCAAUUCGGAUUGUGGGAGAAGGUAGCGAGAAAGGUAGGAGAGCAAUCUCUGUUAUAUUCUUGUUACUCUACCUCGGCCUGGAUUGAGGAAGUAAUGGUGCGCCGCUUGCGGCUUGGUCCUGCGUUUCUAUUGUCCUACUUGUUCUCAUAGCAAUGCUAUGUUUGUGGGAAAAGGCAAUACUGGGCGUAGUGAUUCUAUGUGCCAUCACGAUCUUGUACGAAAUGGUUUUUAUCGACCCGUCUUGAAACACGGACCAAGGAGUCUAACAUCUAUGCAAGUAUUUGGGUGCAAAACCCUGAUGCGUAAUGAAAGUAAAGGCAGUCUUGUGCUGCUGAGGUAGGAAUCCUGCAAGGGAGGCACUAUCGACCGAUCAUCACUUGUGAAAGAUUUGAGUAAGAGCAUAUCUGUUGGGACCCGAAAGAUGGUGAUCUAUGCCUGAACAGGGUGAAGCCAGGGGAAACUCUGGUGGAGGCUCGUAGCGAUACUGACGUGCAAAUCGUUCGUCUGAUUUGGGUAUAGGGGCGAAAGACUAAUCGAACCAUCUAGUAGCUGGUUCCCUC
rnacentral:misc_RNA from 1 species